GUAUGCUUACACAUGCAAGUCGAACGGUCUUUUAGGAGAUAGUGGCGGACGGGUGAGUAACGCGUGAGAAUCUGGCUUCAGGUCGGGGACAACAGUUGGAAACGACUGCUAAUACCGGAUAUGCCGAGAGGUGAAAGAUUAAUUGCCUGAAGAUGAGCUCGCGUCUGAUUAGCUAGUUGGUGGGGUAAGAGCCUACCAAAGCGACGAUCAGUAGCUGGUCUGAGAGGAUGAUCAGCCACACUGGGACUGAGACACGGCCCAGACUCCUACGGGAGGCAGCAGUGGGGAAUUUUCCGCAAUGGGCGAAAGCCUGACGGAGCAAUACCGCGUGAGGGAGGAAGGCUCUUGGGUCGUAAACCUCUUUUCUCAGGGAAGAAAAAAAUGACGGUACCUGAGGAAUAAGCAUCGGCUAACUCCGUGCCAGCAGCCGCGGUAAUACGGAGGAUGCAAGCGUUAUCCGGAAUGAUUGGGCGUAAAGGGUCCGCAGGUUGCAAUGUAAGUCUGCUGUUAAAGAGUGAGGCUCAACCUCAUAAGAGCGGUGGAAACUACAUAGCUAGAGUACGUUCGGGGCAGAGGGAAUUCCUGGUGUAGCGGUGAAAUGCGUAGAUAUCAGGAAGAACACCGGUGGCGAAAGCGCU
rnacentral:rRNA from 1 species